rnacentral:rRNA from 1 species
CACGAACGCUGGCGGCAGGCUUAACACAUGCAAGUCGAGCGCCCCGCAAGGGGAGCGGCAGACGGGUGAGUAACGCGUGGGAAUCUACCCAUCUCUACGGAAUAACGCAUGGAAACGUGUGCUAAUACCGUAUACGUCCUUCGGGAGAAAGAUUUAUCGGAGAUGGAUGAGCCCGCGUUGGAUUAGCUAGUUGGUGGGGUAAAGGCCUACCAAGGCGACGAUCCAUAGCUGGUCUGAGAGGAUGAUCAGCCACACUGGGACUGAGACACGGCCCAGACUCCUACGGGAGGCAGCAGUGGGGAAUAUUGGACAAUGGGCGCAAGCCUGAUCCAGCCAUGCCGCGUGAGUGAUGAAGGCCCUAGGGUUGUAAAGCUCCUUCACCGGUGAAGAUAAUGACGGUAACCGGAGAAGGAGCCCCGGCUAACUUCGUGCCAGCCGCCGCGGUAACAC